rnacentral:lncRNA from 1 species
AUGCUUGCACCCCCACUUGUAGUGGGACGGUGUUCAUGCGUGGACACUGCCUUCUAUCUGCGAGGGAGUGCGUUCUUGCUAUUGUCCCAGUCUCUCUGCACCGGAGGUCAUUCUCACCUCUCCCAAUCCCAGUUUUGUUCUGGAGUGUUUCACACAGUCACCCCGCCCUCUCAUGGUGUGGUAGGAUUUCAUGUACUGCCCCAUCCCUUUUUGGUGCAUGGGGUGGGUUCACACAUGCGACCCUCCAAGCCUUCUGCAGUGAUGGCAUCACCCAUGUCCUCGCCAAUCCUUAGAUUGGGAUUAGUGAUGCCAGUAUUAAAACUGAUGUUUCUCGAAUGGUUCUUUUCACUUUCACAGCUGAAGAAGCAGGCAUCUAUUAAGGCUUGCAUCUUCCCUCUACCUCUAUACUCCAAGUUCCUGGCUGGCACUGGAAUUACAUCCUUAGAAGGCGCAUCAUAACCUCCAGGUGAGGUGAAUAUGAUUACUCUCAUUUCUAAAAUCAACAAUCUGAAGCUCCAAAGAGAGUAGGUCAUAUUUCUGAGAUCAUAGUACUAGUAAGUGCUGUGUUUUUGAUAAUUCAUUCUAAUGGGCUCCAAAGCCCACUUUCUUUCAUCUACCACACUGUCCCCAAGAUGAACAGGGAAAAGCCAUACUUCAGCCUGAUAUAUUGUAGGCAAUGGUACGUGUAAAGCUGGUGUCACAUUUCAGAAAAUGGGGUUAAGUUUAGAAUCUGAGUAAUUAUACCCACAGUUUGAAUUUGAAUCUCACAUCCUUUUAUUUUUUACUGCUGCAAUUUCUGUUAUCUUUAAUGAUUAUCUAAAUGUAUUCUUCCCUUGGUAAAAUUUAGCCACUAAGAGUACUAAGAGAGUUUGUUUCCUUUGUAAGAGGUCAGAAUUAUACAAUGAAUUUAUAAUGUCAAGGCAAUAGCUUUUAUUUUAUCCUAAAAUAUAGAGGAAAAGGUCAUUGCCCUUGCUGUAAGAGUUUACCAUGUGUUAUUGAUAACAUGCCUGAGCUCUAUUGGUGAAAAACCGUUGUGGACUUUGAAAGUCAGUUAUUUAUAAUUAAGAGAGUAUUGUUCUCUCUUUGGGUGCAGCUGAUUGUUUAAAAUAGAACUUAGGAUUUUUCUGCAUAGAUUUUAUAUUUCAGAAUGAGCUUUGUUUUAAAAGGUAUGUUAUAUUUGCAUUCAUGCAAGUUGUGCAAUCAUUAAAUUGACAGGAAAGCAGCUGUUAAUAGUUGUCAUUUGGACAUGUAGAUGGA